CGUUAGAACUUGGAACCACACCACUAUAUACACAAACAAACUUACGGUUCACAAACUGGGAAAUCUUCUCCGGUCCCCUCCCUCCCUCCUUCCCCCUCUCUCUCUCUCUCUCUCUCUCUCUCUCUCUCUCUGGACCCAUAAUUUUCUCUCUUUUGACUUUCUUCGGUUCUGUGUUUAGACUACUUGUAAAAUGUCAACCGGUGGCACCGCCACCAAUUCCGCCAGCGGCAGUCCCCGAGCGGGCGGCGGAACCGCCACCCACCACCGCCGCCGUGUCGCCGAAACCAUGAACGACCCCGAAAAAUUAUCAGAUCAUUUACAAAUCGGGCUUGAUUAUUACGGUGAUAAUAAUACAAAUAUCAACGCUGGUGGAAACUUUCAUCAUCACCAUUAUCACCAUCACCAUCAUAAUUUGAUAAUACGUUACUUAUUAGCAUGUAAAUGGAUGUCAGAAAGUAUGGUAUUUAGAGUAGAAGAAUGUUUAUUAAGUAUUGGUACAAUUAUGGCAUGUUUAGGAUCAAGAAAGAAUAUGGUUCGUACGAUAUUUGGGUUGUUAUUGUUUUUGGUGGUUUUAUCUGUAUUUCUCAAGUUUUCUAUUAUGAUGAAUGGUAAUGUUGAAGAUGUAAAUAAUGGGAAUCUGAUGAGGAGAGAGAACGGACUUUUUGUUCUUCAGAAUUUGAAGAAUGAUUGGAUUAAUGCUCAAAGAGUUGUUUCUGAAACAGAGACCACUGCCUUUUCUGCUUCUGAGGUUGUGCAAAAACGUCAGAUGAAGGAGUUACCUGUACCAGAAAUAUGGUUGAAGCCACCCACUGAUAAUUACUACAAAUGCAUUGCUCGGCCAAGGAAUCGAAUAAGAACUGGCUCAUCGACCAAUGGAUAUAUCUUGGUUCAUGCCAAUGGAGGAUUAAACCAAAUGAGAACAGGGAUAUGUGAUAUGGUGGCUAUCGCAAAAAUUUUAAAUGCCACUCUGGUUCUUCCUUCUCUUGAUCAUGAAUCCUUUUGGACAGAUCCCAGUGAUUUUAAAGAUAUUUUUGACUGGAGACGCUUCAUUGACGUUUUAAGAGACGACAUUGAGAUUGUUGAAUCUUUGCCACCAAAAUAUGCAGCUGUGACCCCCAUUCAGAAGGCACCUGUGUCUUGGUCAAAGGCUAGUUACUAUAGAGGGGAGAUUCUUUCUUUACUAAAGAAGCAUAAGGUGAUACAAUUUACCCACACAGAUUCAAGGCUUGCUAACAAUGGUCUGGCAUCCUCUAUUCAGAGGCUUCGCUGUCGAGCAAAUUAUGAGGCUCUACGAUACACAAAUGAGAUUGAGGAGCUUGGAAAGAAGUUGGUGGAUAGACUUAGAGACAACGGUGAACCAUACAUUGCUCUCCACUUAAGAUAUGAAAAAGACAUGCUAGCCUUUACUGGCUGCAGCAACAAUAUGACUGCUGAAGAGGCUGAGGAACUUCGUAUUAUGAGGUAUCAAGUGAAGCACUGGAAAGAGAAAGAGAUAGACGGCAAUGAGAAGCGACUGCAAGGGGGAUGCCCCAUGUCCCCUAGGGAAGCUGCCUUGUUUCUUAAAGCAAUGGGAUAUCCAUCCACGACCAUGAUAUAUGUUGUCGCUGGGGAAAUUUAUGGCAACAACAGCAUGGAUGCAUUUCGGAGAGAGUAUCCCAAUGUUUUCUCUCACUCAACUCUUACAACAAAGGAAGAACUUGAGGCUUUUAGGCAUUAUCAAAACCGUCUUGCUGCCCUAGAUUAUCUCGUAGCCCUUGAAAGUGACGUCUUUGUUUAUACAUAUGAUGGUAAUAUGGCGAAGGCGGUACAAGGGCAUAGAAGGUUUGAAGGAUUUCGAAAGACCAUAAACCCUGACAGACUCAAUAUUGUAAGAUUGGUUGAUUUGUUGGAUAAGGGUGCGAUCUCUUGGGAAGAGUUUGCUUCAGAGGUCAAGGCGUUACAUUCCAACAGAUUAGGAGCUCCUUACCUUAGACAAGCUGGAGAAUUACCAAGAUUAGAAGAGAACUUUUAUGCAAAUCCUUUUCCAGGUUGUAUCUGUGAUAGAUCUUUGAUGGAAGUGAGCAAGCAGCAAAUUAACAAGAGACCGAGUUUGAAAGCUGCUACACAAAGAUAAGGAUUUAUUUCAAGUUGGUAAUAGGUUGUAGAUUAGACAAAUGCCAGCAUAUGAUAUAUUCAAGGGGCUGCCAAAAUUUGAGCCUUUUAUGCCUUUUAGUAUAUUAGACAGCAAGCAACGUCGGAAGCAGAAAUGGUGGCUUAUAAGACGAACAGAAGAGGCAGAAUACAAUACAGAUGUGUGACCAUAAUUCAGAGUUUUGGAUUUGCUCUGGUUCCUUUACAACGUACACAAAAUACAUAAAGCAACAUUACGCUAUUACUAAAAAUAGCAGUGACGACAACUGAUGGAGUCUGAUAAUGCUUUCUUAUCGUUGAACCUGCAUCCUUAUCCUGAGCCCAACAGAUUGUGGUCCUAAACAAAACUCAUUCAUCAAGUAAGGUACUGGUUAUAUUUGGCAAGAUUCAUACGCCAUUGUGUUUCCAGUUUUGUGCUAUGAUGUCAAUCAAAUCUACUAUAAAUAGGACUGUGAUCAUUGCAUUGAUGUUGGAUGCAAUAGUAAAUUUAAACAAGUCACAUGAUUCUGUUAUGACGUUUACUAAAGAUUCAAGUUCUCCAGUAAGUUUAGCAGUUUCUGGUGAGGAGAAAGAAAAAUAACCAAGAAAAUACAUUGGUACUCACUGAGAUUGUUUUCUUGAAAGAAGUCAUUCAUACGGAUGGGGCGUUGAGAGGUCCACGGACCUGCAAAAUCCCCUUAUUUACGGAGUACUGAGUUUUAGUACUUAGAAAAGGCUCCACAGUCAUUUAAAAAAAGGCAGCUCGGUGCACGAAGCAUCCCGCGUUUACUCAGGGUCCGAGGAAGAACCACACCACCCCAAGGGACGUGAUGUAGGCAGUCUACCCUAACGCAAGCAUCAGCGAACCAAAACUUGACCCAAAAUGGUUGAAAUGCUUGACCGUGAACAAAAAUGGUUGAAAUGCUUGAGGUGGGGCGGUGAACUGAGAGUUCCGAGAAAGAAAGAAUCCCAUAUCAUAUGCUACACAGGCUUUCCAUAUUGGAACUUUUCUUUUCCCAUAAUUGCAAAGGAAUAACUAACGCUCAAUUGGACAACAAUAUAUUCUAAUUUGUGACCUUACGGUUUGAAAUUGAAACAUCUUGACCAUCCUACUGUCACAUAGUAGAGCUCUCCAAGUUAGACUCAAUAUGCCACUUUGGGCAGGGGUCCUAUGUGUAAUGUGGGAUCAUCGGACCCCGUA